rnacentral:lncRNA from 1 species
ACGGAGAGGAAAAGCCGGGGCACGCAAGUGGCGAUCGGAAAAGCGGAGGGAGAUCUUCUCUUCUACUACCGCUAGAUUCUCGGUCUUAAUACUCCACUUUGUCCUCGAAGACCGGUAAUUUUUUCCCAAAACCUUCAAACCAAUCGGCUGCCAACUUAAAGGGAGCCAGAGCGCUCCGAGCUCUCCUUCAAGGAUUUAGGAUGUGUCUCCGCUCGCUUUUGCAAUGAGAUAUAAAUGAAAAGACAUACUCUCACUUCAUGAUUAGUAAGAAAUUAUUUUGAGGAAAAUCCAUAUGGAAGCAAAGCGUAUGUUUCAUGCGUCUGGUUAUUUUCUCUGUCGAUUCAAUUAUUUAUUUAAAGAUAGUGAAAACGCCAGGAGAGUUUUCAAGUUGUGGGGGAAAAGUCAGUCUGAAAUCGCUUAAGAAUAAUGGAGUGCUCUCUAUUCAAUUCCUUAUUUCCUAAUUGUGGAAAGAAAGAAAUGCUUGCCAUGAUGUGGAUGAUUCGGAAUAACUUCAUUUUUGCCCCAAAGCCAGGUCAGAAAUGUCUAUUAUACUGGGAGAAUUCGAGAUCAGGCACCCUCGAAGGUUUAGAAAGUGGGGAGGGGAAAAAAGAACAUCCUAAUUUUUUCUUCCCUAACUCCAUAACUAAUUCACCUGUCUUGCACAGACACCAACAAUCCUCAAGUCCUUUAAGACCCAAGGCUAGUUGCUAAUGUGAUAUGUGAAUAACAAUACAUAGAUGUAUAUAUUGUAUUUGAAAAGUAACAGUGUAUUCUGGGAAGGUCCUUCUCAGUUUGUCAGUAAAAAAUAUGUUUUGUAAAUAAUGAAAAGAACACAAACAAAGCUCACUAGUUCACUUGUAAAGGCAGAACGGAUAGCUAUGCUUAAAAACCUCAUGAAGCUGGGUUGAGACUCACUCUCUUCCUCUUUGCCUUUCUCUCUCCUUUUCUUCCCCUUUCUAACUUGUUGCAUGAAGGUACUAUUUAUUCAAGGAUUUUUGACCAUAGGUCAAGUCUGUUCUCUGUUUGUAUCUCUAGGAUUCUUAAAUAAUUGGGCUUUAAACCUGUCUGCACAUAUUCAUCAACUCCACAAGAUAGAAACAAUGCUUUAGCAUUUGACAGAUUUUAAAAAUAAAUUAUUAGGACCAGGAUCACAGUGUAGUGUUGAAAUUAUUCUCACAUUUCUUUUUAUCAUUUUUAUCCUUUAACCUUUUUGAAGUUGAGUGCCAAAAGUUGCAGGAAGUAUUUAUAGAGAAAUAUGGCACUAUUGACUAAUUUGUCUAAGUUUAUACUAAACUUUUGGGGGCAUAGAAGUUAUAUCAGGAAGCUUUCCUGGGUCAGAAGAACUCAGAAAAUUGAUUGUUACCAAAAAGUAGAUUAACUUCUGCAAAGAUAGCUAAAGUUUAUGCAGCUGUUUUACCUAGUUAGCCAAUGUAUUUUAACAUAUCCAGAAAUAAUGUAUAUUCAUUUUCACUCCUCUUAUCUGACUUCAGUUAAAAAUAAGGACUGGAUAUACAUCACAUACAUCAGAACACUUCUUUAAAUGUUUAUGUCUGUAUUGGACGAUAUCGCCUUUUUUAAAAAAUGUCAACCUGCUAUGUUAAAGAGUGGAGGUGAGGAGAAGAUAUUAAGCCCUAAGAAACUGAUUUUAUUUUCGAAUUGCAUGUAGAACUUUAAUAAACUCUGCUGUGGUUUUAAAAAUGUUAAACUAACUUCUUCAUAAAUUCUACCCACAAAUGAAAAAAAAAGGGGGGGGAUUCAAUGUCUUAAAUCGACCCUUAGCAUUCUCAUUCUUCAUAUUUCCUUUAACUGUCACUCAUCCCAUACCUGCCACAUUCAGAAGCCAGGGACAGGAAGUAAUGAUAGCAGACCAAACCAUUAUCCCACCUAGCUUCAAAGCAAACUCCAAAUUUUCUGCAGGGAAGCCUGCCCUUUCAGCACUUGCUCCUUUCAAAAGCAGGGCUUGGGGCAUUCCCCCUACACACACCUAAAUGGGAGCUUCCUCCCCCUCCCCCUCCAUCUCACAUCCCUAAACAUUUUUUUUUUUUUUAGAAACUACUCACCUCUUUGAUCAAACAAUAGGAUUAGAAAAAAUAUAUAAUGCAAAUUAAAAUCUAUAGGAAAGAAAAACCUGGAAAAUUUUAAAAUUUCUUUUCUCUCCUUUUUUUUUUUUUUCAAGAAAGAUUACCAAUGAUUAAGGCAAACAGUAUUUAACAGCAGAUAAAGAACAGCACAGAUUUCAAAUUCCCACUCUUUCCAUCACAUCAUUUGCUUUCAAAGCUUUUGUCUUGUUUGUUUAUUGUUUUACAUCUCUGGUAGUUUCAGGUCCUCUCCUUCCAGCUCCUCUUCUCCAACCUGCACUCAAUUUGCAUAAGCAAAACUCAAAGUACUGUAACUGAUAUUAGAAAAUUCUCCCUGUGUGUUGUGAAGAUGUAUUGUGCUGAAAUCAAUAAGACUGUUUAAAAUUCAAAGACCUGCAAAUCGUUCUGUUUGUCCUUUGAUAGGGCCUGUGCUGAUUAAAAUGCUACCAAGAAAGCUUAAUUGCUGCACUAAUUAAGAAGUCUUUAAUUUCUUUCCUAGGAUAUCGUUUGAAGCUGAGCUUGUACCAGUUCAGGGAAGGUAUUUUCUUCCCUCCCUCUGCCCCCUCCUGGCCCCUCCCUUCCCCUUCCUCCUCCUGCCGUGCCCCCACGAUAUCCCUGUGAAUGGGAACUAAUAGAGAGAGUGGUCUCAGGGCUCACCAUCUAUUACUUAACAAAAAUCGGCACAGGAGACAGAGUUCAAUGCAGUAUGAAACGCAGUUUUGAGAAGAGCUGUAAGGUUUCAGGAGACAGUGAGAAAAUACAGAGUAGCUGUUGCAGCUAAAGUCCCGGUGAAUACCUGGAUGACAACAGGCGCUUUAGCCUGAAGAUGAGGGCAUCCUAUUUGGUUAAGAGGGGCAGUGACAAGGAAAUGCUUCUAUGGAAACAGGGGAACAUAACAAUAUACUUUCAAAACCUGUGGUUUUAAAAAAGAAGAAUAAAUCUGUAGAAAGGUGGACUUAGAAUUGGGAGUUGGUAAGUAUCGUUUUAUUUUAUGAGUUUAAAAACAUGAAUUCUAUGGGGAUUCAUUUUUGACCCUUUUUAUAACCCAGGGAGGCAGAGCACUGUAUUACAUCCAUCCAUCCUUAUCUAUUGACCUAUUUUAUUCACUGAUUUCUCAAGUGGGGAAACUGACUAAAGGAUUUCACAAAGCUUUCUCUGUAAUCAAUAGUCAUUUUUAAGGUUUAUUCAUGCUGCAUUAUAAUUCUGGUAAAUGACUGUGAAGCAGAAGAUUGUAAGAAAGAUACAAAUAUUGACAAAGCCAGGAUAAGUCAUGUCUUUAAAUCUUUAGUGUUUCCAUAUAGCAAUGGAUAUAGUUAAGAUCGAAAAUGUAGAUUUCAUAGAAUAUUUUAAAAAAACUAAAUGAUUAACUUAAAGGCAAUCCUAUCUGAAGGUUUCUUGAAUAUCUCAAAAUUUCCUGAAAGCUUUGAGUAUCCUCUUUUUAUACCAUCACUAAAUGAAACAGAAACAAUUGGGGGGAUAUGCAGAAAGGGCAACAAGAAGAGGUUCCUUGCAAUUUUAUCCUUUUAAUUUAACCUGUCCCCGAGUUCUAUUAGAAGCAUGCACGGAAAAAUACAGAUGUAUACUUCAGAUAUAUUCUGAAUUCUUUUCAGUGACAGGACAAGGAGAUAACAUGCCUAAUAGAUUCAAAGGGAUACUUACCAUUCCGAGCACGACGUCACUCUAAUUAUGUUUACUCUAAUUGAAAGCAAGGUUUUUUGGAAUCUGAAAUUACUUUCAGAAUUUUUUUUUUUAAAUAAUGCAAGUGGAUCAAAUGUUGAUCACAAGCAUUUCAAUCUUUCAAAAUGUAUUGGAAAAUUAAAUGAAAAGUGGAGUUUGGUACAAACAAUGCCCCAGGGCAAAAAACAACUAACACUAGAUUUUCCAGUCCAGCCAUAACACAAAUCAAUUUGAGCACACUUCUAUGGCCAGACUGCCAGAUUGUUAUGACUGCUAAUUCACUCAAUCAAAGAGUGCAUUAGCACACCCGGCACAAAUAGCUUUAACAAUGGGGUGCACUUCUGAACAAUUCUAAGAUAUAUCACAACGGAGAAGUAAAGAGGAAGAUCGUUUUUACAUCUGCAUGUUUACUAAUGGACUUGUUUCCUUAAU